rnacentral:lncRNA from 1 species
UCUUUGUUGGAUGAGAUCACAGUCGCCAUCAUUGUGGGUAGUUGGUGGUUCAUCCUCGUUGUAGUCGUGAAAUCUGGUUGUCAUGGUGGAGAAUGAGAGUUGGAGGAAGAAGAAGUAGAAACGAAGAUGGAAGGUGUUGAACUGAGAAUUGAUGAAUGUUGAAUGUUGAAUGUUAAAGCUUCAAGCUUUGAAGAAUGAAGAUGGAAGUGAAAUAUGAAUGGAAGUGGAAAUGAAAUAAAGAAGGAAUGAAAUUGGGUAAAUGAAUAGUGAAGAUGUAA